rnacentral:rRNA from 1 species
ACGGAGGUUGCAAGCGUUGUUCGGAAUAACUGGGCGUAAAGGGAGCGCAGGCGGUUUGGUAAGUCUAAAGUGAAAACCCAGGGCUCAACUCUGGACCUGCUUUGGAUACUGCCAGGCUUGAGUACGUGAGAGGAGAUUGGAAUUCCAGGUGUGGCGGUGAAAUGCGUAGAUAUCUGGAGGAACACCGGUGGCGAAGGCGGAUCUCUGGCACGUUACUGACGCUGAGGCUCGAAAGCGUGGGGAGCAAACGGGA